rnacentral:rRNA from 1 species
UACGGGGGGGGCAAGCGUUGUUCGGAAUUACUGGGCGUAAAGGGCUCGUAGGUGGCCAACUAAGUCAGACGUGAAAUCCCCCGGCUUAACCGGGGAACUGCGUCUGAUACUGGAUGGCUUGAGUUUGGGAGAGGGAUGCGGAAUUCCAGGUGUAGCGGUGAAAUGCGUAGAUAUCUGGAGGAACACCGGUGGCGAAGGCGGCAUCCUGGACCAAUUCUGACACUGAGGAGCGAAAGCCAGGGGAGCAAACGGG